AUCAGGAUGGCUGAGCGGUCUAAGAUGCCAAACUCAAGGUUCAGGUCUUCUCCCUGGGUAAAGGAGGUUUCUGGUCUGUAAAUGGAGGUGUGGGUUCAAAUCCGACUUCUGACA